rnacentral:tRNA from 1 species
GCCGAAGUGGCGAAAUUGGUAGACGCAGCAGACUCAAAAUCUGCCGCCCGCAAGGGCAUGCCGGUUCGAUUCCGGCCUUCGGUA